rnacentral:rRNA from 1 species
GAUGAACGCUAGCGGCAGGCCUAACACAUGCAAGUCGAGGGAGGAGCUUUCGGGCUUCGACCGGCGUACGGGUGCGUAACGCGUAUACAAUCUGCCUUUCACAUAGGGAUAGCCCGAAGAAAUUUGGAUUAAUACCUAAUGGUAUAUAGAGGUGGCAUCACCUUUAUAUUAAAGCUGAGGCGGUGAAAGAUGAGUAUGCGUUCUAUUAGCUAGUUGGAGAGGUAACGGCUCCCCAAGGCGACGAUAGAUAGGGGUUCUGAGAGGGAUAUCCCCCACACUGGUACCGAGAUACGGACCAGACUCCUACGGGAGGCAGCAGUGAGGAAUAUUGGACAAUGGUCGGAAGACUGAUCCAGCCAUGCCGCGUGCAGGAAGACGGCCUUAUGGGUUGUAAACUGCUUUUGCAGGGGAAGAAUAAGGACUACGCGUAGUUUGAUGACGGUACUCUGCGAAUAAGCAUCGGCUAACUCCGUGC